GGGGCAAUGGCUGGACCGGCGGCGGCGACGGCAGUGGUAGAGGUGGCCGCGGCGGCAGCGUGGGUUUCCAGCUUGGGGAACGUGUUUUUCUCCUCUUAGCAGCGAUUAGGCGGUGUUGGUGGUGGCGGCACUGCACGAUUGGUGCCGUUGAAGUUUGAUUGAACGUUUGAAGGGGGCUGUCGGAGGCGUUACAGCAGUUUGGACACUUGGAUUGGGGUACACCGGGCACAUCCCGUCGACCUUGAGUUCGAAGCUCAAGGAAUUUUGAGGAGUUUUGUGAGCGUGCCACAAGUUUUGGUAGAUCCGGGGCAGCAGGUUGAGCAGAUGGCUUCACUCACGUCCUACUGGGGAGGUUUUGGGUUGUGUCUUUUGUAGUGCCGGCGCG